UGUCUGUCCUCCCUCUAGUUCUAGGCUCUGUUCGCAUCAAAUCGUCAAUCCCCGACGUAAAAAUAUCUUCCUCCACUGAAGGAUACUAACUGUGAGGUUCGUAGUAUGCUCUAAGUGAAACCUUAUUCAAUCUCAAAUUUGCGGUACUCAGUGGUACAAGGGAAGAUCGACGACGGGUGACAGCAAUGGAUGCUACUGGAUUGUUAGGUAGGUAGGGGCGGUAGACGCUGCAGUGGAGGACGCGUUGAAGUGAGUAUGCAUAGUUGGUGGUCGG
rnacentral:sRNA from 1 species